GUAAGAUAAUUGGUAAUUGAAACCUGUGGAAGAUGGCCAAAAUUUCUCACUUUCUGAUCAUUGCUCUUGUUUUCACUGUUGUGAUAAUGGUGGCUGAAACAGAAGCAUGUGAAAUGACAUUAUAUCCAACCAAUUGCAUUGUUCAGGACUGUCAAAACAAGUGCUUAGAAAAGAGCCCCACCUUUACAGGCCAAUGUCAGGGCUUUAAAUGUGUAUGUACUUGGCCCUGCGAUUGAUGAUUCCCCCUAAUAAUAAGCUUGUAUGUACUUUCUUGUAAGAAAGUAAAACAUACCUAUACUUAUUAAUAAAUAUUUUAAAUUAUGUUUUUUUAA